rnacentral:misc_RNA from 1 species
AGCUAAUUUCUCCUCAUCCCUUCAGUGCUUUGUCUUAUGCAGUUCAGUUAAAUUGACUUGCAUAAGAACACAGCAUGAAUGCAUUAAAAGGAGCUCUAUGCAUGCGUGUGUAAGACAAUAUGUAGAAUUAUCUGUUGCGAAGGACAUUGGAAUUUCAAGGACCAACAUGAGAGAAUGACCAAUUGUUGGUUCCUUUGUCAGUUGGCCUUUCAGAAGUCAUUCAACUGCGUGUUACUAUUGUUACCAUUAUCAGGCCAGUUACCAGCAUUGUACUAAAUCAUCAUUAUCAUAAUAAUAAUAAUGAAAUUCAGUCGUGCUGUAGUGAGUGUGUGUGAUAGAGACAUGACAUAUCUUUUAUUACUUUAAGCACAUUAGCAAGGGUGCAAGAAUCCACGUACUCAGUCGGUAUGUAUUGUAUGGCUUGACGACAUUACAAAUAAAAUCUGGAAAGAAGAAAAUAGGCAAAACCUGUUAAAAUGUCUUUUACGUUGGAUUAAUGAAAGUCAAACAAAAGUGAGCUCUUUGUUGAAAUUUUGUGAAUUUGUGACCAGUGAUCUUACUUUGUGAACUUAAGAAGAGUGACUGAAGCUGACAAACUUGUUUGUGGAACUGAUAACGACUAGAGAACAAUGAAGAUAAAAACUGGUGCCAGCAGUGAUAUUUCAAGACAGUGGAUGAAAGUUUGACCUGCAGGGAACUCUUCUGGUGAGUGUGAUCAGUAUAUCCUGGCUUGGGUUGGCAAAAAUUGUAAGUGUUCAUUUAUUAAUUGCUAUAAUAAUUUUUGUUUAAAAAUUGUUGUUUAAAACUACACUGACAUAUUGUUUGUUGUGUUGAAAGAAAGAAUGCAUAAAAUGUGGCGAUUAAAGCUCGUGUGGCGGGAGAUCCACUAGUUCUUUCUCAACACCAGCUGCGUCUGUGACAAAACUUAGAAGCCCCGGCAGCUGAAGACAAUGUAAGGACCUCAAAGUAGGUCCGUGACUGCAUCAGUCUACACCAGGGCGCGCGACAGUAGUCACGCACAUUGUCAACGCUACACGUCACGCACUUUAUCGCCGCUACACGUCACGCGGAGUUUGUGUGGCAGCCCGUUGACGCAGCUGAUGACGUAGGCACUACACCAGCUGUCAGUUUAAUUCUCGCUGCACUCCACAGAAGUGACAAACACUUAGACUACCAUCGCUAGUGAGUAACCGACUUGGUCUUGAAGACAGAGACAAAUUAGUCUGAGAGAGAGAAAGAGAGAAAAAAAAGCUGUACUUUUAUUCUUUUCCUCUGUUUGAAAAGGAACUGAGAUUCCACGCGUUUAAGAUUUCAGAAUUUGAACCUUUCCCUCAACCGCGGUAGCAGUUUCAAGUCAUCAUCGUUGCUGGCAGCAGUUGACGACAUCAACGAUGACGCGCAGAGUGAAGGGCAAGCGCCUGAUGAAAGUCAUGGCUAUUUCCACCAGCAAGUUCGUUAGGAGUUACCGUCUGCAGGUGUUUCGCCGGCAACUACUGGCGAGGAUGGCGGAGGAGCCGGACAGAAGACCGCUGCUGACGCGCCUUCGCUCCGUGGAAAGGAGUCGCCACGCCCACGCAGCACACACCAAGCUGCUGCUGAACCGCCACCAACGCCUGCUGGACGCCGUGCGCAGCGACAACGAGGAGAAGAAGACGGACCUCGCCGUCAUGAAGCGGCGGCAGCGCGAGUACAAGGGUGACGCAGUGCGGCUGCGCAACAUCCUCUUGGAGUAUGAUGUCAUCGGCGAGGAGAACGCUCGGCUGAAGGAGGAACUCGUGGAGCUGCGCUUGAGGAUCAAGGCCACGGACGAGGAGAUCUGGCGCCGCUCCAAGGUCUUGGGCGAGAGGAGGAGGAUGCUCACGUACGGAGACGCCAGACCAAGUGCCGUGUUCCACAGGUUGGAGGCCGAGAGUCACAAGUAUAACCUCGAAUUAAGCAAACUGAAGGAUCUUCGCGACCAAGUAGACUUCCUUCUGUUGAGGCGCAACAAAGUGAAGAACCAUCUAAGCUGUCUGCAGACAGAAGUGGAUGCGAUCUCUUUCAGCAUUGUCCAGCAUCUUCAAACAUCGUCAAUCAAGCUGAAAGGAAUCCAGACUGUGAAGCAGAAAAAACAAAAGCUUCUUGAGUAUUCCAAUGCGGCAGAGACUUCCUUCGACAAAGAGGUGACGAGUCUGGACAAGAAGAUGGACACCGCCAAGAAGCUGCACAACUUCAUCGUGGAGAAGCUGAAAUCGCGAGGAGACCCGCGGGCGAAGGAGAAGGAGAUGCUGCGGGAGAAGUUUCGUGCCACGCAGGACCGCACCCAGAUGUACGGCGAGCUGCUGCAGCAGGUGCGCGCCCUCUUCGCGGAGCAGCUGGACGGUCCGUAUGGUCAGCUGCUGGACAGGCACCGCCGCUCCCCACGCAAGCUGGACGGCGAACCGACCAUAAAGAAACUCGCCGCGUCGCCCGUUAUCAAAGCCAAGCUGGGCAAGACGGGGCUCAGGCAAAUCAUCAAAUCGUUCAUCGAGAUGAUGGAGGAGAACUUCUACUUGUUCAAAGCCCUCGCGGACAAGCAGGAGAUGCUAGGCGACACGAGGAUAGAGUAUGACAGGAUGAAAGCUGAGGAGGCUGAGAUCCUAGCGAGACUGGAUGAGACAGAGCGAGACAGCACCAAGCGCGAGAAUGAAAUUAAGGAGAAGAUCGCUUCGUACGCUAGAAAAUCCCGAGAGGUUGAACUGAAGAUCAAGAAAGCAGAGGAGACCAUCGAGGACUACAUCAAGGGCGUGCUGGACAUCAUGAUGAAAAUGGGGUUCACGGAGCAGGCGAUACAGAAGACGGUGGGCCGCCACGAAAAGCAUGUGUGAGGCAACCCCGUUGUGGUACAGCGUAAUCCGGUUCUGCUGACGUGUUUUCUGGAUCAUCAGGUCGUAUUCUCUCCUUUUCGCUUGCGCCACCAACUCCAUCUCGCUUUUACUCUGCCACAUUGUUCUGAGUUUUCUGUCAGCGACACUGUCCACUAGCGCUUGCAGAGUUGAACGGCACAGAGAAACGAAUAACUCACGGACCGCUUUUGGGUUUUUUCCCCUUUUUCUUCAUUUCUGCGGAACGCUCGCGACUACUCGUCAAACAUAAUGCAUCCACGGGACCUGGACCUUUCACGAUCCUCUGCCUUUUUCGGCGUUGACCAUCCAUCCCACCGUCAAAGCAUACAAGGCCGCUCUGUUCAAGAUUCCUGGAGAAAUAUUUUGCACGCCUUCUCAUUUAAACAGUCUCUCCGAUGCGUUCUAUUAGGAGUUCGUAAUGUGUCGUCUGCACAGUCAAGACUACUGCGCUGGAAAGGCAACUGAAGGCGAACUAUUCUUUCCUUUUGUGAAGAGCGAUUUCGAAGCCGCCAGGACAUAGAUUUCUCGCCCUUUGAAAGAGUAGCAUCUACAGAUUCAUAAAUGCGCACGCGCGUGUGUGCAUGUGUGUGUGUGAUUGAAAGAGUGAGUUAAGUUUGUUAGUUCGCGUAUAAAAGCUUGAAUGUGUGCGCGUGUGCCAGAUCUUUAAAAAAAUAUGUUGCACAUCUACCCAUAACACUGAUUUCAUAGUGUGAUGUCUUUAGUCUUGAAGAACACUCGACCAGUUGUUCAGUUUCAUACAUAUCUGAAGAAUAUUUAAUAUAUGUAAACAAUCUAUAAAUCGUGCAAUAAUUUACUUUACUAUAUUUGAUUUUUUUUUUGAUGCAGUAAUCUAAUUCAUUAUAACGUAGCAUUCCGGCGAUCUUUCCAAGCAGCGCUUUUGAGGGUGCAGAAUCUAAGUACAUAGAGAUUUGCCUUGAUAAUUUGAUAAUCAACGUGCUCUCAAAGACAUCAUCAAUCCAAUAGAAUUUCAAUAUUUAAAUGUCACUACUAUAAAUAGAUUAGUUUAUAAGCCUAGCUUUUACAAAGUGUAGAUGCAAUUUAUACAGACAUGAUCGAGGUAUUCGGUUUGCGUUGACAACUGUUGUUGCGAGUGUUAUGGCUUUUUAUUUUGUUUUUAUUUUUCGUUCUUAACACCAACUCCGACAACGUAUAGCAUGUACACUUAUAUAUAAGAAAAAAAAAACACACAGCAUUUUCUGCACCCUCCAAGCUAGAUUCGACCGUUUGUUCUGUUGUAGUGCUUGGUAGCUACUGUGUAGCAUCAUGACGUCAUAUAUGACGUCGUAAGGCACGUCACUAACGUGCUUACGGUAGCCCUAGAGCGACCCUAACAAACAAACAAGGUAAACAAAAAACACACAAAAAAACAACCAUAAAAGCGAUUUUAUCAUAAGGAGAGAGAAAAAAAAAAGGAGCGGAGAAGAAAAAUUGCGAAUCUAUUUCUUCAAUAAUUAACAUUGAUUAUAUGGAACUGUUUUUCAAAAGGGGCGUUUAUUACAUUCGUAGCCGAUACCACUGGCUCUCCGUCAUUCAGGCUUGGUUUUUAUUUACAUAGAAGAAGAAAAUGAUGUCACAUACAGAGAAGUGUUUCAAGCAUUUUGCUUCCAUGGAUGUCUUAGACUUAGAGGGCUGUAGGUUAUAGAAUUUCUCCUAUACACGCAUGAACACACGUGGUCUAUCUGCAGAAUAAUUCUGGGAGAAUCAUUUCUGACCGCUUAUUUGAGAAGAAAUAAUCCAUUAAAAAGGCAGUGAUAGAGAAUAUAAUUAUGGCUUCGCUCUGGGGUUGCCGUAAUAAAGAGAUUCUAUGAACCUCGACUGUGAAUCCUAGGCAAAGCUUACGUGCCUUGUCUAGUGUGAUGUAGGGCUAAAAGGCUUCGUUUUCGUGAUCGAAGUUGUGCGUUGGUACUGGGAUACAUGGGGAAAAGAUUUGUAAAUAGAUAUGUCUUUGAACAAGACUGAGGGAGAAAGAAAAUGAGAAGCAGGGGCAGUGAAGAGAAAUUGUGUGAUAUCAAUUUUAUUGGUCGUGACAAGCAUUGCUCAGCAUUGUAACAUAUGUGUUUACAAAAAAUUAUUUAGUGUUCUACCUUUUUUCGGUGAAAAUUUCCGUGAAGGACAGUGUUUAGAUUGAUUGCGACUUGUAAAGUAAUUCAGAAAGCCAACUUUCAUAGAUGUAAAUAAUUGACAUGUCCAGUUUGCUUGAAAACUAUAGUGAACACUUUUUUGUGAACACUCCUCUGUCAGCAUUGAAAACUUAUAAUUUACAUUUUUGUGUGCUUAGUGUAAGGAGGCUUUCUAAUUGUUGGUAAAUAUUUUUUUCUGGGUAUAAUUUGGGGAUUUAAAAGAUGGUAUAUAUAUUAUUUGUAAAAAAAUGUUUAGUUCAUGAUUACUAUAUGGUUGAUGUUCAAAUUUGAUAUUUAUUCGUACUGUCCUUUGCUUGUGGAUCUGCCAGUAAAAAAAAUCUACCUCAGAUAAUAUUCGCCAUAUUGCUGUAUUUAUGAUUAUCAUUACAAGCAAACAUUAACUAUAUUUUUCGUGACCCAUUCUGACAAAUGUCAUGUAGAUGUUACUCUAUCAAAAUUUUAGCACAAUGCCGACAGGUUCUUUUUGACAUUCAUGCUUUUUUUUGGUUCAAGCUCACGUUUUGCAUAAAACGAACUAUGUUGUGUCAACAUUGAUUUUAUUGUUUAUUAUCAGUAUAAAUAAAGAACGAAGCUUAAUCUUCACAUUUCUCUGCUCAUGUGUUGAAAAACUUCGUGUGAUGAUAAAUGAAAGAUGAAGACGUUUUAAAAUAGAAUACCCUGUAAACUCCAAAUGAAUUUCAACAGAUCUCCGACUUUCAAGCAAAAUUAAGCUGUGUGCAUACAAAACUAAUCUGACACCAAAAUGGUUAGUUAACAUGAACCCACAAUGCUUCUGAUGAAUUCAUAAAAAAAAUUCUCAGGAAAUUUUUCUUGAAAUGAUGAAUACCCAGCCUAUACUUUCUCAUCUCAUAGUGCUGAUGGAACUCAUUGUCUGUAGUGUACAAACAUGACAUCAUUUUGUGUGGUUUAAGUAUUUCAGUUGCAUGUUAGCAUAAGAAUGUAAAUAAACUGCAAGAAAUUCCAAAUAUUAUGAUGCCCAAACUAACCAUCAUUAAUAGAAAUAUUGUAGCUAAAAUUUCCCAAUCUAAACCCACUUGUUCGGUUUUGAUACCAGUGGACUCUCAGUAUUUUUUAAAAUGUAAAUUAGGGUAGAAAAUAUGCAAG